UACGUAGGGGGCUAGCGUUGUCCGGAAUCAUUGGGCGUAAAGCGCGCGUAGGCGGUCCGGUAAGUCCGCUGUGAAAGUCGGGGGCUCAACCCUCGGAUGCCGGUGGAUACUGUCGGGCUUGAGUGCGGAAGAGGCGAGUGGAAUUCCUGGUGUAGCGGUGAAAUGCGCAGAUAUCAGGAAGAACACCUAUGGCGAAGGCAGCUCUCUGGGACGGUACUGACGCUGAGACGCGAAAGCGUGGGGAGCGAACAGG
rnacentral:rRNA from 1 species